rnacentral:rRNA from 1 species
UACGGAGGGUGCAAGCGUUAUCCGGAUUCACUGGGUUUAAAGGGUGCGUAGGUGGGGUGGUAAGUCAGUGGUGAAAUCUCCGAGCUUAACUUGGAAACUGCCAUUGAUACUAUCAUUCUUGAAUAUUGUGGAGGUCAGCGGAAUAUGUCAUGUAGCGGUGAAAUGCUUAGAUAUGACAUAGAACACCAAUUGCGAAGGCAGCUGACUACGGGAGCAUUGACACUGAGGCACGAAAGCGUGGGGAUCAAACAGG